ACGAACGCUGGCGGCGUGCCUAAUACAUGCAAGUCGAGCGGACUUUCAAGAAGCUUGCUUUUUGAAAGUUAGCGGCGGACGGGUGAGUAACACGUGGGCAACCUGCCUGCAAGACGGGGAUAACUCCGGGAAACCGGGGCUAAUACCGGAUAAUAUCUUCCUUCGCAUGAAGGAAGGUUGAAAGGCGGCGCAAGCUGCCGCUUGCAGAUGGGCCCGCGGCGCAUUAGCUAGUUGGUGAGGUAACGGCUCACCAAGGCGACGAUGCGUAGCCGACCUGAGAGGGUGAUCGGCCACACUGGGACUGAGACACGGCCCAGACUCCUACGGGAGGCAGCAGUAGGGAAUCUUCCGCAAUGGACGAAAGUCUGACGGAGCAACGCCGCGUGAGCGAAGAAGGUCGUCGGAUCGUAAAGCUCUGUUGUCAGGGAAGAACAAGUACCGUUCGAACAGGGCGGUACCUUGACGGUACCUGACCAGAAAGCCACGGCUAACUACGUG
rnacentral:rRNA from 1 species